AGUGAACGCUGGCGGUAGGCCUAACACAUGCAAGUCGAACGGCAGCACAGUAAGAGCUUGCUCUUACGGGUGGCGAGUGGCGGACGGGUGAGGAAUACAUCGGAAUCUACUUUUUCGUGGGGGAUAAUGUAGGGAAACUUACGCUAAUACCGCAUACGACCUACGGGUGAAAGCAGGGGAUCUUCGGACCUUGCGCGAUUGAAUGAGCCGAUGUCGGAUUAGCUAGUUGGCGGGGUAAAGGCCCACCAAGGCGACGAUCCGUAGCUGGUCUGAGAGGAUGAUCAGCCACACUGGAACUGAGACACGGUCCAGACUCCUACGGGAGGCAGCAGUGGGGAAUAUUGGACGAUGGGCGCAAGCCUGAUCCAGCCAUACCGCGUGGGUGAAGAAGGCCUUCGGGUUGUAAAGCCCUUUUGUUGGGAAGGAAAAGCAGCAGGUUAACACCCCGCUGUUCUGACGGUACCCAAAGAAUAAGCACCGGCUAACUUCGUG
rnacentral:rRNA from 1 species